UGAGUAACCUGCCCUGGACUUUGGGAUAACCUCGGAAACGGGGGCUAAUACCGGAUAUGACGGCUCACCGCAUGGUGUGGUUGUGGAAAGUUUUUCGGUCUGGGAUGGGCUCGCGGCCUAUCAGCUUGUUGGUGGGGUGAUGGCCUACCAAGGCGACGACGGGUAGCCGGCCUGGAGAGGGCGACCGGCCACACUGGGACUGAGCACGGCCAGACUCCUACGGGAGGCA
rnacentral:rRNA from 1 species